UACGUAGGGGGCUAGCGUUAUCCGGAAUUACUGGGCGUAAAGGGUGCGUAGGUGGUUUCUUAAGUCAGAGGUGAAAGGCUACGGCUCAACCGUAGUAAGCCUUUGAAACUGAGAAACUUGAGUGCAGGAGAGGAGAGUAGAAUUCCUAGUGUAGCGGUGAAAUGCGUAGAUAUUAGGAGGAAUACCAGUUGCGAAGGCGGCUCUCUGGACUGUAACUGACACUGAGGCACGAAAGCGUGGGGAGCAAACAGGAUUAGAUACCCGGGUAGUCCCUGAG
rnacentral:rRNA from 1 species